AUGCUGCUGCCUGGUGGCGAAAAGGCAUCUUGCCUUAAAAAAGAACCUAUUUGCAAAAUGACAAUAACAAGCACACUUUCUUUCUUGUCAGAAAGCUCCGGACCGCUGUUGCAGCCCACAGGAAGCAGAAGUGAGGCAGCUGCCAGGACCCGACCAAAGGCAGCAAGAGCUCCGCUGCAACCCCGCCGGCUCACCCUCCUCUGGCCCCGACCUCUUCUACCGGUCCAAAGCUUUGCUGGGCUCCUCAGAGCCUGCCGGGGCGAAGGCGGGGCCGGCCGCCGCACCCAGUCCGCUCCUCCCAGCCCGCCUGAGAGGCCUCGGGCACGCCCCUCCUCCCGCCCCGCCCGGCCCUGCCCGGCCCGGCGGAGACGCCGGCGUGCGCGCGCGCGCGCGCGCGGCGCCGAGCCGAUUCUCCUUCCGAGCGUCCGCGCCCCGCAUGCGCACUCCGCGCUGGCGGUCUCCGUUUGUUUGAACAGGAAGGCGGACAUAUUAGUCCCUCACGGCCCCCCUCGCCCCACCCCCCCCCAGGCAUUCGCCACCGCGACUCGCCCUCUCCGGAGCAGGGGACGCAGCCCCUCCCAGAAGCUCCCCCAUCAAGCAGCGCCGGGACCCGACUCUCGUCUUCCUCACCGCGAGCUCUCUAGCCUUCCUCUCCUAAGUCUCCAUCGGGCACCGACCUCGCCCUGCCCCGCCGGACACCGCGGUAGCAGCCCCAGCAGCGACGGACAAAAUGGGAGAGUGAGGCUAUCCCGUGGGGACCACCUCUUGGCUGAGUCGGAUCGGUGCGUCGGGGCUGCGCCAAGUAAAGCCGGGGAUGCGGGGCUAGACCGCCUACAGCACUUCAGAGUGGAGCGGGCCGGGCCCGUGGCCCAAGCGGCGGCGGCAGCUGGCACAGCUCCGCACCCGCCCUUCGUUUUCGCCUUUCCUCUUCUCCCUCCCCUGCUGCCCAAAGGAAUCUCCACCCUGCUUCUCUUUCUCUCUCCCCUCCGACCCAUCUCGGGACGGGGAACCCUCCAUGGCGAAGGCGGCUGGGGCCCGCUAAGCUGA
rnacentral:lncRNA from 1 species